UGGGGAAUAUUGCACAAUGGGCGCAAGCCUGAUGCAGCAACGCCGCGUGAACGAUGAAGGUCUUCGGAUCGUAAAGUUCUGUUGCAGGGGAAGAUAAUGACGGUACCCUGUGAGGAAGCCCCGGCUAACUACGUGCCAGCAGCCGCGGUAAUACGUAGGGGGCUAGCGUUAUCCGGAUUUACUGGGCGUAAAGGGUGCGUAGGUGGUUUUUCAAGUCGGUGGUUAAAGGCUACGGGUCAAGCGUAGUUAGCCUCCGAAACUGGAAGACUUGAGUGCAGGAGAGGAAAGUGGAAUUCCCAGUGUAGCGGUGAAAUGCGUAGAUAUUGGGAGGAACACCAGUAGCAAAGGCGGCUUUCUGGACUGCAACUGACACUGAGGCACGAAAGCGUGGGUAGCAAACAGG
rnacentral:rRNA from 1 species